AGUGAACGCUGGCGGCAGGCCUAACACAUGCAAGUCGAACGGCCGCACAGUUAGAGCUUGCUCUUGCGGGUGGCGAGUGGCGUACGGGUGUGGACUACAUUGCGAUCUACUUCUUCGUGGGGGAUGCUGAUAGGAGACUCACGCUAAUACCGCAUACGUCAUAUGGCGGAAAGCAGGCGCGCGUCGGACUUUCUACGUUUGAAUGUGCCGACGUCGGAUUAGCUAGUUGGCGGGGUAAAGGCCCACGAAGGCGACGCUCCGUAGCUGGUCUGAGAGGAAGAUCAGGCACACUGGAACUGAGGCAGGGUCCAGACUCCGGCGGGAGGCAGCAGUGGGGAAUAUUGGACGAGGGAGGAGAGCCGGAUCCAGCAAUACCGCGUGGGUGAAGAAGGACUUCGGGUUGUAGAGCCCUUUUGUUGGGAGAGAAGAGCAGCAGGUUAAUACCCCGCUGUACUGACGGUACCGAAAGAAUAAGCACCGGCUAACUUCGUG
rnacentral:rRNA from 1 species